GAUCAUGGCUCAGGACGAACGCUGGCGGCGUGCUUAACACAUGCAAGUCGAACGGAAAGGCCCUGCUUUUGUGGGGUGCUCGAGUGGCGAACGGGUGAGUAACACGUGAGUAACCUGCCCUUGACUUUGGGGAUAACGUUCAGGAAACUGGGGCUAAUACCGGAUAGGAGCUCCUGCUGCAUGGUGGGGUUGGAAAGUUUCGGCGGUUGGGGAUGGACUCGCGGCUUAUCAGCUUGUUGGUGGGGUAGUGGCUU
rnacentral:rRNA from 1 species